rnacentral:rRNA from 1 species
GAAAAUGUAAGUGUGCUAAUACCACAUUUAUUUGACGAAGGCUCCAAAGGAAGCCACGGCUAACUCUGUGCCAGCAGCCGCGGUAAUACAGAGGUGGCAAGCGUUGUUCGGAAUUAUUGGGCGUAAAGAGCACGUAGGUGGGUUUGUAAGUCAGAUGUGAAAGCCUUCUGUUCAACGGAAGAAUUGCAUCUGAAACUGCGAGUCUUGAGUGUAGGAGGGGAGAAUGGAACUUCUGGUGGAGCGGUGAAAUGCGUAGAUAUCAGAAGGAACGCCGGCGGCGAAAGCGAUUCUCUGGCCUAUUACUGACGCUCAGUGUGCGAAAGCUAGGGGAGCAAACGGGAUUAGAUACCCCGGUAGUCCUAGCCGUAAACGAUGGGCACUAAGUAGAGGGAAUUACCGAUGUUCUCUCUGCCGUAGCUAACGCAUUAAGUGCCCCGCCUGGGGAGUACGGCCGCAAGGCUAAAACUCAAAAGAAUUGACGGGGGCUCGCACAAGCGGUGGAGCAUGUGGCUUAAUUCGAUGCAACGCGAAGAACCUUACCGGGGCUUGACAUGGUAGAAGUAGGAACCCGAAAGGGUAACGAACGGUAUCCAGUCCGUAACUAUCACAGGUGUUGCAUGGCUGUCGUCAGCUCGUGUCGUGAGACGUUGGGUUAAGUCCCCUAACGAGCGAAACCCUUGUUUUUAGUUACCAGCGGGUUGUGCCGGGUACUCUAGAAAGACYGCCGUCGUCAAGACGGAGGAAGGUGGGGAUGACGUCAAGUCAUCAUGGCCCUUAUGCCCCGGGCUGCACACGUGCUACAAUGGUCGGUACAAACGGAAGCGGAGCCGAGAGGUGAAGCGAAUCCUAAAAAGCCGAUCUCAGUCCGGAUUGGAGGCUGAAAUUCGCUUCCA